CAAGUCGAACGGUAGAGGGGCAACCCUUGAGAGUGGCGAACGGGUGAGUAAUACAUCGGAACGUGCCCAGUCGUGGGGGAUAACGUAGCGAAAGCUACGCUAAUACCGCAUACGACCUGAGGGUGAAAGCGGGGGAUCGCAAGACCUCGCGCGAUUGGAGCGGCCGAUGGCAGAUUAGGUAGUUGGUGGGGUAAAGGCCUACCAAGCCUGCGAUCUGUAGCUGGUCUGAGAGGACGACCAGCCACACUGGGACUGAGACACGGCCCAGACUCCUACGGGAGGCAGCAGUGGGGAAUUUUGGACAAUGGGCGAAAGCCUGAUCCAGCCAUACCGCGUGCGGGAAGAAGGCCUUCGGGUUGUAAACCGCUUUUGUCAGGGAAGAAAUCUUCUGGGCUAAUACCUCGGGAGGAUGACGGUACCUGAAGAAUAAGCACCGGCUAACUACGUGCCAGCAGCCGCGGUAAUACGUAGGGU
rnacentral:rRNA from 1 species